CCCUCCCAGUUUGUGGUGCCUGCCAACUCCGAGCGGGUGAUGUGAAGAUAAAUGUGAUAACGUCUACAAAGUCCUCCAAAUUCUCGGGAUGAAAUGUGCUAUGUAAAUGGAACACAGCCCCGUUAUGAUUGAAGUUUAAUGCAGCAGCUCUCAGGCCUAUACAGGGAAUGCAGUCUGGCUGGAAGAUGAUGGAACUGAGGCAUGAUGAAAGCCCCUCGCAAGUAAGGGAGCUGGGAUUUGCUCCCAUGUUCCUAGCCACUUCAGUCUAUCGCCCUUCAUCUAUUCUACAUCAUAAAUAACACACAAACUUUUUUGCACCAAUUGUAGCUUGACUUGUAAACUCUACCUGAUGUUGUUUUCUAUAGUUGAAUAUGUCUGUUAUUUUUUAAAUAAUAUUUUAUUGUAGUUAUUGAAUAUCAUUAUAAUGACUUUUGGGAUAUACAGAUUUUUAUUUUUAUGCAGUUAAAUCUAUUCUUAUUUUCCUUCGUGACUUAUUCCAUCUUGAUUUUGUGUUUAGGAAGUCUUUCCAACCCAAUAAAUAGAUUUUCACCUAU
rnacentral:lncRNA from 1 species